CAAGACUUCAAAAAGCCCAGUGCAUACCCCAAAGGGACAUGAAGAUCAGCCACCCUCAGCCUGUACCGUUGCCAUGAGCAGUACGUCAAACCUCCAGUGAAAGCCUCCAGUGAGAUAAUCCAUUGCCAAGAGCUGUGUUCCUGAAAACCACUGGUCAGCUAUUUCUUUCAGAGACAUCUCAUUUCUUUACCAGAAAGACCCACGAUUUCCAUACAUAGCACUUCAGCUCCUAUUUAAUGCCCAGAUGCUUGUGCCCCACUCUGCCAAAGCACAGAUCCCAAGAUCUCCAAGAUCUCUUGUCACACUGAGCUUCACCAACACAUGUAGAUUUGACUCCACAAGGCAGCAGCAGCAUGAAUCGUGUGAACAAAGCUGCUUCGUGCACAAACACAUGCAGUAGAGUGUAAAUCUUGUGAAGAAGGGGAAAAACAGCCCCUUCCCAGCACAGUUUAGCUUGAAAGGAGCUGCCUCAAUUGCCGGUCAGCACCAUCACUGCUUUCCCCGCACCACUGAGCCAUUCCUCGCCCCAGCCCUUUUCCCUGAUGCCAAACGCAGCCCUUACACCCCCUUGUUGCUGCCUGAAGUGACAGGGCCCAAAAUUAUAUGGGUGACCCAUGGAUGAUUCAUGUUGCAUUGCUAUGUGUACUGUUCAUUCUGUAAGUUUUCACACAGCUACGAUCAGUAGAUUUGUGCUCUGCUAUUCUUAAUAUGCAAGAGCGUAAGAAAGUGUUUUAUUAUCAGCGUGUGCUGUGCUAUUCUUGCUGCAAUAAAGCAUAAGAAAGAGAGGCAGUGAGCAGCUGGGGUCAGUGCCUGCAUUUUGGGGGUGUUGCAAGUUGUUUGUUUAAUGGUAUAAAAGCUAAGCCCCCUCGCAGCAAUGGCUGGGAGAUCUUGUCCAUGAGUGAAUGCACUGCUUAGGUUCCCAGUUGCUGAGACAGCCUCUCCAAAUGCUUGCUGAGAAAAAGAAAACCCCCUGCUCCCCACAUUGAGGGUGUGGAUGAUAAGAAAGCAAUUGGUGAUGUAUCUUUCUUAAUCGGUAUACUUAUCCCUUACUUUAAUUAGAUGCAUUGCCUUUGCAAGCUGUUGCUGUUAACAUGU